CCACCACUAAGCCAGUGGUGAACUCCACAUACGCAUCCUUUGCUGAGGAUACGGUUAACGGAGCGAAAGCGACGUUCAACCGCAAAAGAAGCAGAGGGGGCUUAGUGGUGGGGUGACUGCGUACCUUUUGUAUAAUGGGUCAGCGACUUAUAUUCUGUAGCAAGGUUAACCGAAUAGGGGAGCCGUAGGGAAACCGAGUCUUAACCGGGCGUUAAGUUGCAGGGUAUAGACCCGAAACCCGGUGAUCUAGCCAUGGGCAGGUUGAAGGUUGGGUAACACUAACUGGAGGACCGAACCGACUAAUGUUGAAAAAUUAGCGGAUGACCUGUGGCUGGGGGUGAAAGGCCAAUCAAACCGGGAGAUAGCUGGUUCUCCCCGAAAGCUAUUUAGGUAGCGCCUCGUGAAUUCAUCUCCGGGGGUAGAGCACUGUUUCGGCUAGGGGGCCAUCCCGGCUUACCAACCCGAUGCAAACUGCGAAUACCGGAGAAUGUUAUCACGGGAGACACACGGCGGGUGCUAACGUCCGUCGUGAAGAGGGAAACAACCCAGACCGCCAGCUAAGGUCCCAAAGUCAUGGUUAAGUGGGAAACGAUGUGGGAAGGCCCAGACAGCCAGGAUGUUGGCUUAGAAGCAGCCAUCAUUUAAAGAAAGCGUAAUAGCUCACUGGUCGAGUCGGCCUGCGCGGAAGAUGUAACGGGGCUAAACCAU
rnacentral:rRNA from 1 species